rnacentral:rRNA from 1 species
UACGAAGGGGGCUAGCGUUGCUCGGAAUCACUGGGCGUAAAGGGUGCGUAGGCGGGUCUUUAAGUCAGGGGUGAAAUCCUGGAGCUCAACUCCAGAACUGCCUUUGAUACUGAGGAUCUUGAGUUCGGGAGAGGUGAGUGGAACUGCGAGUGUAGAGGUGAAAUUCGUAGAUAUUCGCAAGAACACCAGUGGCGAAGGCGGCUCACUGGCCCGAUACUGACGCUGAGGCACGAAAGCGCGGGGAGCGAACAGG